rnacentral:lncRNA from 1 species
CCUCGCUUUUACCGCGUCCAUCGAGAGCUCCGCGGGGCCCGAUCAACGGCAUAUUUGCCGGUUGAACUCAACAGGGUACUCGAGGGAAAAACGACGGCAAAAAUCCAGAAAAAGAGACAGACAAAUGAAUACUGGCGCCUGCGCUCGCAGCCGGUUCGCUGUGCGGGGGCAGGAAUUCGCGGGGUACUUCCACGAGUUCCAGGUGUGGCUGUCGAGCGACUUCUUCACUAAAUCCGACAAGACAAGAAACUCAGUGAACUGAGAGAGGAACGCGGCGUUCCGGAAACGCAAAACUGUGGAAGAAUGCGCCGACACAACGCUAGAACUCACCCCGUUCUUCCUGGCUAGUUCCUCGGAAGCGGGCUGCGUCUCAGGGAGGCUAGCUCAAGAAGACAUGGAACACCCAGUGCAGCUUUGACUGGAACAACCGACGUUUCUGACGACUUUUGCGGUGCUUGUCUUUCUCUUUCUUGGAAGAAAAUGCAGACACGAGAGCGGGGUGCUCGCUCCUAACGCGAGGGGCCGAGAUGCGAGAAACGCGUUUUCGCGACAGGGCAGGCAACUUGCGUUUCCCCGCAGGUCGGGAGUCGUCGAUUGCGCCUGAAAAAGAACGGAGCGGUGCUCCCAACUCUUCCGGUCAACAAGAAGGCAGCUCGUGUAAGAUGCAGGCGGCGCUUUCGGGAGAAAACAUGGCGAGACCCGUCUACUUUCGGGCACCCAGUUGAGGAGCUGUGCUGCAGGAGUGAGCUGGCGGAGGGGGGAGAGAGGUAGGGGAAGGGGGAAAAAGCCAUCGGGCGUCCGGCGAAAGACGCGUUUCUCGCAUUUUGUUGUUGAAACGAGGAGCAGAAAACUUCCGCAGCGCUCCUCUGCCGUUGUCAUGGACGGGGCAAAGGUGUACGCAUGUGCGUUCCACGUCUGAACUCGAGACGAGGACUGACAUCACCGCAGCAGGUGGGGGGUGUGAGAGCAGCCUUCGCGUCGUUUUCAGAGAACACUGUGUUCGUUUUUACCGCUACUUCGCCCUACUGCAGUCAUCGAGGUGCAUAUGCGUGCGAAGAAACUUCUCGGACUCUCGAUAGAAGCGCCCCUCCUCGCGCGC